rnacentral:rRNA from 1 species
CUUUACUGUAGCCUGGAAUUGGGUCCGGGCUUCGCUUGCGCAGGAUAGGUGGGAGGCACUGAAACACUCCUUGUGGGGAGUGUGGAGCCAACGGUGAGAUACCACUCUCUCGAAGCUAGAAUUCUAACUCGAAUAGAGGACAGUUUCAGGUGGGUAGUUUGACUGGGGCGGUCGCCUCCAAAAAGGUAACGGAGGCGCGCAAAGGUUCUCUCAGGCUGGUUGGAAAUCAGCCGUAGAGUGUAAAGGCAGAAGAGAGCUUGACUGCAAGAGCUACAACUCGAGCAGGGUGGAAACACGGCCUUAGUGAUCCGACGGCGCUGAGUGGAAGGGCCGUCGCUCAACGGAUAAAAGUUA